AUGAAGUGGCAGCCGUUCAUGUCCACGUUCGUGCUGAACAAGAUGUGUGAGCACAUCUCUAGUGGAGUUAGGACUGAUAAGGGCUUCAAGGAGAUGCACUUGAACACCGUUGCGAAGCAGGUGUUCGAGUUCUGUGGGCAAGAGGUGUCUGCCACCCAGGUGUACAACCACCUGAGGAAGUGGAGAAGUCGAUGGAUCCAAGUGUCCAAGCUGAGAGACCUUAGCGGCACCUCAUGGGAUGAGAACACUUGCUCCAUAGUUCUAGAGGCAGAGCACUACGCCGGCCAUGUCGCGGGUGGCUUCAGCGACGAGGCUCUGAUGGCAGCUCUCGGCCACCUGCUUGACAACAAGGCCCAGGGUGUUGGGUUCGUUGCCAUGGCUGACGCUCACAGGGGCAAGUGGUAUGCCGUGUUCAUUGGUAAGGUCCCAGGGGUUUAUAGUUCAUGGGAAGAAGCUAGUGCACAAGUGGCAUCAUAUAACAACAGCACCCAUAGAGGGUUCAAGACUACGUAG
rnacentral:rRNA from 1 species